rnacentral:snoRNA from 1 species
UUGCUGUGAUGACUAAUCUUAGGACACCUUUAGAGUGUAUCAUGAUAAGUAUUUUGUUGCUUCUGAGCAAG